AGCUGGAGCGGGAGGUGGCGCGGCUGUAGCACCGCGGGGAGGGCCGCGCCGGUUGCUUUCUGCAGCCGCUUCUCCGCUAGCCGGUCCCCCGCCGUCCCUGGGGCGCCGCGCGGCUCUAGACCGGGACCAAAGCCGCCGGCCGCCGCGGGUGGCCGGAUCCGCGUCCCGCCUCAGCGCCCGGAGGACAUGCGGGAGAGAGAAUGACCCAGAGGGACACGCUGGUGCAUCUGUUUGCCGGGGGAUGUGGUGGUACAGUAGGAGCUAUUCUGACAUGUCCACUGGAAGUUGUAAAAACACGGCUGCAGUCCUCUUCUGUGACACUUUAUAUCUCUGAAGUUCAGUUGAACACCAUGGCUGGAGCCAGUGUCAACCGAGUAGUGUCUCCUGGACCUCUCCAUUGCCUAAAAGUGAUCUUGGAAAAAGAAGGGCCUCGUUCCUUGUUCAGAGGAUUAGGUCCCAAUUUAGUGGGGGUGGCUCCUUCCAGAGCAAUAUACUUUGCUGCUUAUUCAAACUGCAAGGAAAAGUUGAAUGGUGUAUUUGAUCCAGAUUCUACCCAGGUACACAUGAUUUCAGCUGCAAUGGCAGGCAUUUACUGUACAUUUCUCCCGAGAAAAGAGUGAGAUCGUGUCAUCUCAUGCUCCCCAUCCGCAGGUCACUUCCUGUAGAAAUAUGGACUAACUUAAACCUCAGUUCAUUUUAAACAUGUUUGUUUAGGUUUUACUGCAAUCACAGCGACCAACCCCAUUUGGCUUAUAAAGACUCGGUUACAGCUUGAUGCAAGGAACCGUGGGGAAAAGCGAAUGGGCGCUUUUGAAUGUAUUCGUAAAGUGUAUCAGACAGAUGGACUUAGAGGAUUUUAUAGGGGCAUGUCUGCGUCAUAUGCUGGCAUAUCAGAGACCGUUAUCCAUUUUGUUAUUUAUGAAAGUAUUAAGCAAAAACUACUGGAAUAUAAGAUUGCUUCUACAAUGGAAGAUGAUGAAGAGUCUGUAAAAGAAGCAUCCGAUUUUGUGGGAAUGAUGCUAGCUGCUGCCACCUCAAAAACUUGUGCCACAACUCUAGCUUAUCCACAUGAAGUUGUAAGAACAAGACUACGUGAAGAGGGAACAAAAUAUAGAUCUUUUUUUCAGACACUGUCUUUGGUGGUUCAAGAAGAAGGUUAUGGGUCUCUUUACCGUGGUCUAACAACUCAUCUGGUGAGACAGAUUCCAAACACAGCCAUUAUGAUGGCCACCUAUGAAUUGGUGGUCUACCUUCUCAAUGGAUAGCAACUUCAGGCUGCUGUACUAUGAAGAGGGAAGACCAAAAGAUUACAGUGGACCAUGCAGUAUUGAAGCCAGCAUGGUGGACAGAAGAAAAAAGUUUGGGAACAUGUAACUAUGCCUAAGUGGAAGUUUGGUUGUAGGAAUUAAAGUAAUCAUAACCACAUUACUUGGUCUUUUUCAGUAAUGUGAAGGGAAAAAAAAAAAAACAAACCUAGGCUGCCUCUAAGAAAAAGCCUUUAGAAGCACUCCUGCCUCCAAAUUGCCAUUUUCUCUACCAUGUCCACAGGACACAGUUGCAUUUUGUUGAUUUAUGGCAGUCAGAGUAUAGUGUGUGUUCCAUGAGCACUUUUUCCAGUCUUCUAAACAAAGCCAUCCCUAAUUGUAUAAAUAUUAUAACUAUCCAAAGAUAGUAUUGACAGUCAUAAAUGUCUUACCUCUGGCAUCUGUGUAAUUUCUGUAAAAUUGUAAAAUAAGAGUAAGUGAGAUCCUUAGUAUUAUUUUCCCAUUUCCUUGAGGAUCUGGAAUAUUUUAAAAUUAAUUAUUUGGCAUUAAUAGUCACUAGUUUUGACAACUAAUGAAAUAAUGUCUAAAGAUCUUGCGUAUUUUUAGCUUUAAAAUGUUUUGGUUUCCACUGCUAACAGGUGCUUGAUGUUGAGCAUAAUGUGGACACUUAAAUUGUUCAUUAACAUAUCAAGCUGAGUGGUAAUAGUUUGGGACAGAAGAAACCAUGAAAUGUUGAUUCUUGGCCAUUUGAAUAACUUGAGCACGUCCUCAUAUCUUCUCUAACUUUACAAUACAUGAACGAAUGGGGUUGUCUUGUCAGUGAUUUAUUAGUUACAAACUUGAAUGAUCAUCUGUCAUACCUAGGUAUCAUUUUCUUAAAGUGGAAAGAAUUCACCACUUCUGAAUCUUUUUCUGUUUGCCUUUACGUUAGGAAUUUGAACCAUUGAAUUAUUUCCAGAAGAUCAGUAUAGAUUGCAUUUAUUUUGUAGAGAAAAUGGUAAUUUUCAGCUUUGCCAUAAUAGGUUUCUUUUUUAAGGUGACAUUAUACAUAUCUGGGGCAGUAUAAACAUAGAAGAGGGGGCUCUCUGCUAUCUGAUUGAGCAGGUAGUGUGAUCCUAAUUGACCACAGUUUGUAAAUGAACAAACUGCUUUUGACAAGAAAUUUAUGCUAUCCUGUGAUUCUUGAAUGGUAAAUCAUAGAAAGAUUCAAGUUAAUUCAGAUUAAGUGUGCUAACAGGAUAUAGCUUUUACAUUUUGCUGUUGAGUUUAACUGUACCUUUUAAUACUUAAAUGUAUAUAUGUAUGGCCCUUAUGAAGAUGUUUGCUGUAAUUCUGUUAAGAGACUUUUGCUUAUGGAUGUUGCUAUACUGGUGUAUAAAACAUCUACAAUUAAACUCCAGUGUGGUACUCAUUUCAGUAUAGAUGAACUGUACAUUUUGUGCAAUGGCUUUAUCUUAAGAAUGACUCCUUGUGAAUGCACUUUGUGGCCUUUUUUUGGAGGAGGGGUGAGAGUAGAGAAUUCCAUGUUAAGAUUGUUUUUUUUUUAAACAUUGGUCAUGUAUUAGGCAGAAACCAUGUUCAAACCAUUUUUCUGGGUUUUAGAUAUGGUGUUUUGGAGAUCUUUAAUAAUAUAAAUGUUUUAUGUAUUCUGUGUACACACUAAUGCCCCUAACACAGAAAACUGUAGCACGUCAUUGCAAGUUUUCUCUGCUGUCACCAGUGAAACACAGUGCACUCUUAAAUUCCUUCACUUUCUUAACUCCUUAUAAUCAACAGUAACUGGAUGUUUUUGAGGUGCUUCGAUUGGAAUUAAAAAAUAUUCCAAUCUAUUUGGAGACCAAAGGCAAAUUUAGUUUCAUUACCUUUGGGAUUAUUUGUACCUUUUAUGGUGAAUUUUAGCUUUGACAUUUAUUGUGAGAAACAAGCC